ACGAACGCUGGCGGCGUGCUUAACACCUGCCAGUCGAACGGAAAGGCCCCUUUGGGGGUACUCGAGUGGCGAACGGGUGAGUAACACGUGAGUAACCUGCCCUUGACUUCGGGAUAACUUCAGGAAACUGGGGCUAAUACCGGAUAGGAAUCCUUGCUGCAUGGUGGGGGUUGGAAAGCUUCGGCGGUUUUGGAUGGACUCGCGGCUUAUCAGCUUGUUGGUGGGGUAGUGGCUUACCAAGGCUUUGACGGGUAGCCGGCCUGAGAGGGCGACCGGCCACAUUGGGACUGAGAUACGGCCCAGACUCCUACGGGAGGCAGCAGUGGGGAAUAUUGCACAAUGGGCGGAAGCCUGAUGCAGCAACGCCGCGUGCGGGAUGACGGCCUUCGGGUUGUAAACCGCUUUCAGCAGGGGCGAAGCUUGUGGUGACGGUACCUGCAGAAGAAGCACCGGCUAACUACGUG
rnacentral:rRNA from 1 species